rnacentral:pre_miRNA from 1 species
GGUCAAUGUCGAACGUCGGGCCGACGUUGAGCCAACGGUUUCAACCGCAUUCCAACGUUGGCCCGACUUUGGAUGUUUACC